CUUUUCACCUGCUUUUUUAGAUGCUUUUAAUUGGUCGCUCCGAGGGGAGCUGAGGGAGCUGUACGGAAAAGGAGCAAGCUAGCGGGCCAAGCGAGCCUGCGUCUAUCUGUGGGUGUAGAGGGUGUAGGAGGAGAAAAGUUGGGUUGGGCGGAUCCCAAGGAUCGGGGUGCAGGCGGCGGCGCGGUACGAUGAUAAAAGGUUCGCGGCAGCGUUACCCGAGGUAGCGGCAUGUUGGGAGGAUGGUUUAGCGAACUACGCUACCCAGUACGGCGUAGGGGUCCGGGGUGUUCCAUGUGGGUGGUCGUGAUGGUCUAGCCCGCCACUUCUCCUGCGUUAGGCGGCCGCUGCUCCGCCCGCCGCGGUGGUGCAAGCACGAAUUCGCGGAGGCCCAUGGUCCGUACGCGCACUCCGUUCCGCGGAGGACCCGAGAUAGCAGCGUAGUGGUUGUUGGGGUGCCGGCUCGUCCUCCUCACGAAGGUGCCUAAGUUUAUAUACGUUCAUCUACGUCCGACGUCGUGUACGAAGGUAGUGGAGGGACACAGCGAGCUCAGUACCCGAGGUAGCACACUGCGUGACGUUCCUACAGUUGGUAUGACGACGUCCCAAGUCACGGCAGUAGAAACAGGCGUAGAAGGCGAGCCGUCUACCUCAGAGGUAGCAAUAUACCGACGUCUCCAUUCAACGAGUUUACUAAUUGUAACACAAACACGAGGUCCAGAUUUCCUCCAUCUCCUCGAGGUCAAACUAGGAUUCCUACCAUAACGAAAAAAAUUUUAAUUUAAUGAACAAGCAUAGCAUUAAAGUCUGACUCUUAAAAAAAAGAGUUGAUAAACGAUAGACAACAGGGAAGCUACAAAAUUCACCGGUUAAACUCAAACGGGCUAGUGUCAAAGGUGUUCGUAACAAACCGGAAAGUUUUCAAGACUAUCUUUUUAAGAAUGUAAGAAAGAGAAUGUUGGUUUUCCUCUAAGAUGAAGUACACAACAGAAUGUUCGUUGCUCCGAUCGACAGAACGUGUGUGGUGUUUACUUCCAAAACCUUGAGGUAAGAGGUUAUCAUAGUCACUUAGUUUGUGAGGUUAGAGAGACUUAAGAUUGGGUGUUGUAGAGGCUGUGGGAGAGCUGCUCGACGUUAAUCUAGUAUCGACUCCUCCGCCGUUACUGGUGACUCCAUGUUGUUGGUGAACUGUGACUUGGAUUACGCAGGCGAAAUAGAAGUAGAUGUAGUAAUUCAAGAGAAACACCAAAGACUAUAACGCCUUCGACUUACUGUUAUCAUUACUGACCACCUAGGUACAAACGCAAACGACUGCUGUUGCUAUUACUCAAAAAUGCCGACGUGAACUCCCACUAGCAUAGGUACGAUGGUAAGACGUCAUAGAACUCUAAAGAUGUCACCUCAUCAUGUGUUGAUGGAUAGUGUUCAAACUCGAAUCUACUUGUUGUACCCGUGGUAGUUUGCCUAUCUAGUACACGGACUACCCAGAGUACUACCUCAUCAACUAUUACCAAUAUAUGUUUUGUAUAGAACUGUCUCCACCGCGGUCUGCAGUGUCUCUCCAUGGCGCAAGCCAGGUUGCUCCUCGAGGCCCGUACCACCCGCCACCGGUACCGUAACCGGAGUACCCAAAUGAGACUGACGGCGGCCGGUAAGAGCGUUUGUUACCGAAUCCAAAACUCCUCCUAAUCGUACAGUGGUGUAUUGUUGAAACAUUCACACUACAUUAUGACCGCUUACAUACGUAAGUGUGUUAGUUUCCUAACUUAACACGCUUCCUAAGUAUGAGGUAUAGAAAAAUGGAUAGAUCUGAGAUCUAGUAUACCCUUAUUGGUGUCAACGAAUGGAGUCGUUUAUCGUUGUAGUGACGUGAACCAGGAAAAGACGGGAAGUUGUUCAACCGGGGUCUGUAUAGAACGAACGAACGACUAGACCACUAACAAGUUGUGUUGACCAAAAAACAGAUAGACAAUGUAUGGUUUACUCUAGUAAGUGGUCGUGUGAGUUCGUCUUCAUCGUUAUCUUCUGUGUAUACAGACUACACGAGUUCUCUUACUGCAGAGAUGUUAGACCUACAACGGGUCUAUCGUCUCUAGUAUUUUUGUCCUCUUAGUACCCAUUCCACGGGGAAAGUUCAGUUAGGAAGAAUCUUCCCUACGUUGUACAAUCAUUAACAUAUCUACCAAGUUAACUAACACUUCACACACAAGUACCUCCACCUUCCCCCGUAACGCUCGGCCUAAACAGUGAUGACUCCACCGCUUGUACCUGAUCCCAACGCCUCACGUUUACUUCGAUUUCUGUUGUAUAUUAAUAAAUCUAGUAAAGAGGGAUAUAUGUACCAACUCAAUUUAACGCUCACUUCACAUAAAGUUAAUAUAAUACUAACAACAUCCUAUAUAAAAAAUAUGUAUAUUUUAAAAUAUACAUAAUAUAAAUGUCC
rnacentral:rRNA from 1 species